CGGGGCGUAGCGCAGCCUGGUAGCGCACUUGCAUGGGGUGCAAGGGGUCGAGUGUUCAAAUCACUCCGUCCCGACCA
rnacentral:tRNA from 4 species